UACGUAGGGUGCGAGCGUUAAUCGGAAUUACUGGGCGUAAAGCGUGCGUAGGCGGUUCGCUGUGUCCGAUGUGAAAGCCCCGGGCUUAACCUGGGAAUGGCAUUGGAAACUGGCGGGCUUGAGUGUGGCAGAGGGGGGUGGAAUUCCGCGUGUAGCAGUGAAAUGCGUAGAGAUGCGGAGGAACACCGAUGGCGAAGGCAGCCCCCUGGGUUAACACUGACGCUCAGGCACGAAAGCGUGGGGAGCGAACAGG
rnacentral:rRNA from 1 species